rnacentral:rRNA from 1 species
GACGAACGCUGGCGGCGUGCCUAAUACAUGCAAGUCGAACGAACCGCGACUAAGUGCUUGCACUAAGUCAAGGUGAGUGGCGAACGGGUGAGUAACACGUGGGUAACCUACCUCAUAGUGGGGGAUAACAGUCGGAAACGACUGCUAAUACCGCAUAGGACAUAGGCUCACAUGAUCCAUUGAGGAAAGGUGGCGCAAGCUAUCGCGAAGAGAUGGACCCGCGGUGCAUUAGCUAGUUGGUAGGGUAAAGGCCUACCAAGGCGAUGAUGCAUAGCCGACCUGAGAGGGUGAUCGGCCACAUUGGGACUGAGACACGGCCCAAACUCCUACGGGAGGCAGCAGUAGGGAAUCUUCCGCAAUGGACGCAAGUCUGACGGAGCAACGCCGCGUGAGUGAAGAAGGUCUUCGGAUCGUAAAGCUCUGUUGUUAGGGAAGAACAGCGCAUAGAGUAACUGCUAUGCGUGUGACGGUAUCUAACCAGAAAGCCACGGCUAACUACGUG